rnacentral:tRNA from 1 species
UCUCAGAUGGCUCAGAUGGUAAAGAACCUGCCUGAAAUGUGGGAGACCUAGGUUCAAUCCCUUGGUUGGGAA